rnacentral:sRNA from 1 species
CUUGGUCAUUUAGAGGAAGUAAAAGUCGUAACAAGGUUUCCGUAGGUGAACCUGCGGAAGGAUCAUUAGUGAAUCUUCAAAAGUCGGCCCGUCGGAUUGUGCUGGUGGAGACACAUGUGCACGUCCGUCGGGUCGCAAACCCACACACCUGUGCAUCUAUGACUCUGAGUGCCACCUUGCAUGGCCUUGAUCGGCCUGGCGCUCGAGUACUUUUCACACUCCCGAAUGUAAUGGAAUGUCUUGUUGUGCGUAACGUACAAACUGAAACAACUUUCAACAACGGAUCUCUUGGCUCUCGCAUCGAUGAAGAACGCAGCGAAAUGCGAUAAGUAAUGUGAAUUGCAGAAUUCAGUGAAUCAUCGAAUCUUUGAACGCACCUUGCACCCUUUGGUAUUCCGAAGGGUACGCCCGUUUGAGUGUCAUUGUAAUCUCACUGCGAUCGACUUUUGUCUUUCCGUAUGUGGACUUGGACGUCUGCCGUGGAUAUCUACGGCUCGUCNNNAAUGCCUCAGUGUACCCCGCAGAGCGGCGUAUUCGGUGUGAUACAUCUUCACCGGAGUUGAUCCUUCACGGGGUCACGUCUGUAAUGUGUGGCUCUAUGCUUCCAACCGUCCUCUGAUCGGACAAUCUUUGACAAUUCGACCUCAAAUCGGGUGGGACUACCCGCUGAACUUAAGCAUAUCAAUAAGCGGAGGAA